rnacentral:rRNA from 1 species
CACGCUGUAAACUAUGCCUGCUAGAUGCUCCGCUUUUGUGGAGUGUCGAAGCUAACGCGUUAAGCAGGCCGCCUGGGAAGUACGAUCGCAAGAUUAAAACUCAAAGGAAUUGGCGGGGACCCGCACAAGCGGUGGAGCAUGCUCUUUAAUUGGCUGAUAACCCAAGAACCUUACCAGGGCUUGACAUGCAUAAAGUAGUGAACCGAAAGGGGAACGACCGGUAUCCAGUCCGGAGUUUGCACAGGUGU